UGGGGAAUAUUGCACAAUGGGCGCAAGCCUGAUGCAGCCAUGCCGCGUGUGUGAAGAAGGCCUUCGGUUUGUAAAGCACUUUCAGCGGGGAGGAAGGCGGUGAGGUUAAUAACCUCAUCGAUUGACGUUACCCGCAGAAGAAGCACCGGCUAACUCCGUGCCAGCAGCCUCGGUAAUACGGAGGGUGCAAGCGUUAAUCGGAAUUACUGGGCGUAAAGCGCACGCAGGCGGUCUGUCAAGUCGGAUGUGAAAACCCCGGGCUCAAACUGGGAAAUGCAUUCGAAACUGGCAGGCUAGAGUCUUGUAGAGGGGGGUAGAAUUCCAGGUGUAGCGGUGAAAUGCGUAGAGAUCUGGAGGAAUACCGGUGGCGAAGGCGGCCCCCUGGACAAAGACUGACGCUCAGGUGCGAAAGCGUGGGGAGCAAAAAGG
rnacentral:rRNA from 1 species